rnacentral:rRNA from 1 species
UACAGAGGUCUCAAGCGUUGUUCGGAUUUAUUGGGCGUAAAGAGCGUGUAGGCGGCCAGGUAGGUCAGCUGUGAAAACUCGAGGCUUAACCUCGAGCUGUCGGCGGAAACCAUCUGGCUAGAGUCCGGAAGAGGAGAAUGGAAUUCCCGGUGUAGCGGUGAAAAUGCGCAGAUAUCAGGAGGAACACCCAUAGCGAAGGCAGCUUGCUGGGACGUUACUGACGCUAAGGCGCGAAAGCGUGGGGAGCGAACAGG